rnacentral:rRNA from 1 species
UGGGGAAUAUUGCACAAUGGGCGCAAGCCUGAUGCAGCCAUGCCGCGUGUGUGAAUAAGGCCUUCGGGUUGUAAAGCACUUUCAGCGGGGAGGAAGGCGGUGAGGUUAAUAACCUUAUCAAUUGACGUUACCGACAGAAGAAGCACCGGCUAACUCCGUGCCAGCAGCCGCGGUAAUACGGAGGGUGCAAGCGUUAAUCGGAAUUACUGGGCGUAAAGCGCACGCAGGCGGUUGAUUGAGUCAGAUGUGAAAUCCCCGGGCUUAACCCGGGAAGUGCAUCUGAUAAUGGGGAGCUAGAGUCUUGUAGAGGGGGGUAGAAUUCCAUGUGUAGCGGUGAAAUGCGUAGAGAUGUGGAGGAAUAAAGGUGGCGAAGGCGGCCCCCUGGACAAAGAAUGACGCUCAGGUGCGAAAGAGUGGGGAGCAAACAGG